AUUGAACGCUGGCGGCAGGCCUAACACAUGCAAGUCGAGCGGAGCGGCGGCCGGGUGAGGAAUGCCUAGGAAUCUGCCUGGUAGUGGGGGAUAACGUCCGGAAACGGGCGCUAAUACCGCAUACUAUCAGAUGAGCCUAGGUCGGAUUAGCUAGGUGGUGGGGUAAAGGCCUACCAAGGCGACGAUCCGUAACUGGUAUGAGUGGAUGAUAAGUAAAACUGGAACUGAGAGAAGGACCAGACUCCUAGGCGAGGCAGCAGGGGGGAAGAGUGGGCUAUGGGCGAAAGCGUGAGCCAGCCAUGCCGCGUGUGUGAAGAAGGUCUUCGGAUUGUAAGGCACUUUAACUUGGGAGGCGUUACCAACAGAAGAAGCACCGGCUAACUUCGUGCCAGCAGCCGCGGUAAUUC
rnacentral:rRNA from 1 species